rnacentral:rRNA from 1 species
UACGUAGGGGGCUAGCGUUGUCCGGAAUCAUUGGGCGUAAAGAGCGUGUAGGCGGCCCGGUAAGUCCGCUGUGAAAGUCGGGGGCUCAACCCUCGAAUGCCGGUGGAUACUGUCGGGCUAGAGUGCGGAAGAGGCGAGUGGAAUUCCUGGUGUAGCGGUGAAAUGCGCAGAUAUCAGGAGGAACACCGAUUGCGAAGGCAGCGCGCUGGGACGUAACUGACGCUGAGACGCGAAAGCGUGGGGAGCAAACAGG